rnacentral:misc_RNA from 1 species
ACCCUGAUUGGAGUAUGGUUAUUCUUCAUGUGAUCUGAUGUAAAGCAGGUUAAGGAACUAGCCCACAAAUGCCUAAGGUGGGAAAAUCACAAUUAGUUGAUGAGUUUUGUUGUUUAGAGUUAUAGAAGAAGAAGAGCUUAGGGUGAGGAAACUGAAUUAGAGCUAAUUAGAGUGACAAAAGAAAAGAAUUUGUUGCUAUUUGGUGGCUUUGAAUAUCACCUGGGGUAGUUUAGCAGCAGAGGAAAAAGAAUAAGCAAUAGCAGAGGAAAAAGAAAA